rnacentral:rRNA from 1 species
GAUGAACGCUAGCGGCAGGCUUAACACAUGCAAGUCGAGGGGCAACACGGGUAGCAAUACCUGGUGGCGACCGGCGCAAGGGUGCGUAACGCGUGAGCAACAUGCCCUAUACAGGGGGAUAAUCCAGGGAAACUUGGUCUAAUAUCCCAUAGUAUUUAGAGGUGGCAUCACCACUAAAUUAAAGCUUCGGUGGUAUAGGAUUGGCUCGCGUGACAUUAGCUUGAUGGUGGGGUAACGGCUCACCAUGGCGAUGAUGUCUAGGGGUUCUGAGAGGAAGACCCCCCAACUGGGACUGAGACACGGCCCAGACUCCUACGGGAGGCAGCAGUGAGGAAUAUUGGACAAUGGAUGGAAAUCUGAUCCAGCCAUGCCGCGUGCAGGAAGACGGCCCUAUGGGUUGUAAACUGCUUUUCCCCGGGGCAACUAACCCCCUGCGAGGGGGAUGGCCGGUACCGGGGAAUAAGGAGUCGGCUAACGUCCGUGCCAGCAGCCGCGGUAAGCGACG